rnacentral:rRNA from 1 species
GACGAAGGAUGCAAGCGUUAUCCGGAUUCAUUGGGUUUAAAGGGUGCGUAGGCGGUCGUGCAAGUCGGAUGUGAAAUCUCGGGGCUCAACCCCGAAACUGCAUUCGAUACUGCGUGGCUCGAGUACUGGAGAGGAGACUGGAAUUUACGGUGUAGCAGUGAAAUGCGUAGAUAUCGUAAGGAAGACCAGUGGCGAAGGCGAGUCUCUGGACAGUUACUGACGCUGAGGCACGAAGGCCAGGGGAGCAAACGGG